GGGGGGGGCAAGCGUUGUUCGGAAUUACUGGGCGUAAAGGGUUUGUAGGUGGCUUGCUAAGUCAGACGUGAAAUCCCUCAGCUUAACUGAGGAACUGCGUCUGAGACUGGCAAGCUUGAGUGCAGGAGAGGAACGCGGAAUUCCAGGUGUAGCGGUGAAAUGCGUAGAUAUCUGGAGGAACACCGGUGGCGAAGGCGGCGUUCUGGACUGUAACUGACACUGAUGAACGAAAGCCAGGGGAGCAAACGGGAUUAGAUACCCCGGUAGUCCUGGCCCUAAACGAUGAAUGCUUGGUGUGGCGGGUAUCGAUCCCUGCCGUGCCGUAGUUAACGCGUUAAGCAUUCCGCCUGGGGAGUACGGUCGCAAGGCU
rnacentral:rRNA from 1 species